AAUUGGCACGGAAGCAGGAGCGGGCGGCAGGUGUAGAGCGUGGUAUCGGGAAGUACAAGAAACGUAGUCGUAAGACAGGCAAAGGUCAAGCGAUCGGACGAACAACACAAACGGGGUCAGGCAGAGAGCGUAGUCGAAACCGGAAACAAGGGUCGAGGAUAACACGAAGACAAACUAACUAGAAUGGCUUGGUAUCGCAGAGAAACGAAUUGACUGAGCGGGGAAAGACUUUUCUUGGUUUUUCAGUCCAAUCAAAGACUCUGCAGUGAACAGCUUCUUAUCUACAUUAGGAUGG